rnacentral:rRNA from 1 species
GACGAACGCUGGCGGCGUGCUUAACACAUGCAAGUCGAACGGAAAGGCCCUGCUUGCAGGGUACUCGAGUGGCGAACGGGUGAGUAACACGUGGGUGAUCUGCCCUGCACUUCGGGAUAAGCCUGGGAAACUGGGUCUAAUACCGGAUAGGAGCCAUUUUUAGUGUGAUGGUUGGAAAGUUUUUUCGGUGUAGGAUGAGCUCGCGGCCUAUCAGCUUGUUGGUGGGGUAAUGGCCUACCAAGGCGGCGACGGGUAGCCGGCCUGAGAGGGUGGACGGCCACAUUGGGACUGAGAGACGGCCCAGACUCCGACGGGAGGCAGCAGGGGGGAAUAUUGCACAAUGGGCGCAAGCCUGAUGCAGCGACGCCGCGUGGGGGAUGACGGCCUUCGGGUUGUAAACUCCUUUCGCUAGGGACGAAGCUUUUUGUGACGGUACCUAGAUAAGAAGCACCGGCUAACUACGUG